GACAGAGGUGCCGAGCGUUAGGCGGAAUCACUGGGCUUAAAGCGCGUGUAGGCGGACCGUUAAGUGCCUCGUGAAAUCCCCCGGCUCAACCGGGGAACGGCGGGGCAUACUGGCGGUCUUGGGCCACCUAGGGGUCAUCGGAACAGGCGGUGGAGCGGUGAAAUGCGUAGAUAUCGCCUGGAACGCCGACGGUGAAAACAGAUGACUGGGGGUGUGCCGACGCUGAGACGCGAAAGCCAGGGGAGCGAACGGG
rnacentral:rRNA from 1 species